rnacentral:rRNA from 1 species
UACGAAGGGGGCUAGCGUUGCUCGGAAUGACUGGGCGUAAAGGGCGCGUAGGCGGUUUGGACAGUCAGAUGUGAAAUUCCUGGGCUCAACCUGGGGGCUGCAUUUGAUACGUUCGGACUAGAGUGGGGAAGAGGGUCGUGGAAUUCCCAGUGUAGAGGUGAAAUUCGUAGAUAUUGGGAAGAACACCGGUGGCGAAGGCGGCGACCUGGUCCUUGACUGACGCUGACGCGCGAAAGCGUGGGGAGCAAACAGG